CCAGUGCCGGACUGCAGUUUGGCGGUUCCAUGCACACCCCUGUCCCAAACAUCCCCCCUUGGGUCAUGCUGAAGAGGCGUAAUGCUGGAAAGAUGGAGCAGUGCUGAUAGCAGCUACAGUGCUGGGGCUCAAGCAAUGGCAAAAGGCGUGAUUGCCCUUGAGCUGUCCACUAAGUACAUGAUCUAAGAAGCUGCUACCUCAUCACAGCUGCCAGGAAGAAUCAGGACUGGGAAAGAGAGAGAAGCUGUUUCAGAAGCAGGGCCCACUGGAAAAUGCUGUUCCACUCUGGCUGAACAACAAGAUGAUGCCAACAAAUCCUCUAUGCAACACUGAAAGGAAAGACAAAAAAACCCUGAAAUGUGAUCUGAGCUGCUGCUAAAGGUUCCACAGUGAGGAAUAUGCGGCAUAAAAGGAGAGCAACAGAUGGAGAAGGCAAUAGGCUCUGGCAGCAAAACAAAAGCCUUUGUCUGUGGGAAAGGAACACCCUGGCUUUUCCUUUCUUUGUUUCCUAGAGAAACGAGGCCAGCAGAAAGGGAGGAGGAAGGGUGGAUGGGGGGGGGGAAAGGGUUGCGUGCGAAUGAGCCACCGCCUAGAUGACACAAUGUCAGCCGACUUUUUCCUCCAAUCCAGUGGCUCUGACAUCACUGCCUGGAAACUGAGCCAAGUGGCUCAACUGCGCACAUCUGGUGGAUGAAAAGAGUACUGCAAACAAUCAAAGAAAAGCUGCAAAACUAAUGGGAAAAUGUGUUUUUCUUCCAAAUGAAACGGAAUAAAAUGAUUCCUCACUCAAACAACCAACGCACCAAGGGCACAGAUGUGAAGCAAAAACAGAUCCUUAUAAGAAGAGCUUACUAAACAUGCCUCUGAAACCCCCACACCACUCCCCCAAAAUUAUCUUUUAAAAAUUAACCUACACUCUCUAACAAAUGUCAAUGACAAGCCACUUAGCCAAGUCUGAUGGUCUUGGCCAUAUAUUGCUGGGACAAAUGCAUACAUUUGCGACACCCAAGGCAAGGCUUCAGACUUCUAGUAUCACUGGUGUGUGUGCGAGAUUCUCAAAUAUACUGGUUGGCAUGUUUCUGCUACACAAGCAUAAAUGCCUUAUUUCACAGAAAAUAAUGGUAACUGAGCCAGUCGCUUGUGCCAGGCUGCAACUGCAAAUAAAACAACAUUCAGAUGC